GAUGAAGAACGUAGCAAAAUGCGAUAAGUAAUGUGAAUUGCAGAAUUCAGUGAAUCAUCGAAUCUUUGAACGCACAUUGCGCCCGCCAGUAUUCUGGUGGGCAUGCCUGUUCGAGCGUCAUUUCAACCCUCAAGCACAGCUUGGUGUUGGGACUCGCGUUAAUUCGCGUUCCCCAAAUUGAUUGGCGGUCACGUCGAGCUUCCAUAGCGUAGUAGUAAAACCCUCGUUACUGGUAAUCGUCGCGGCCACGCCGUUAAACCCCAACUUCUGAAUGUUGACCUCGGAUCAGGUAGGAAUACCCGCUGAACUUAAGCAUAUCAAUAAGCGGAGGA
rnacentral:misc_RNA from 1 species